GGCUCUCAAAACAGUAGCUAACUAUUUAGGGCUGUUUGUGACUUUUUGCCUACCAUUCUUCUCCUAUAUUUGGCUGUGUUUUCCAUUCCUUUCCUUUGUACGUCAGACACAAUCAAGAAUAGCAGUUGAACUGCUUCUAUGCAUGGUCAGAAAAAACAAAGAAGCAGAGGAGAAGAAAAGAGAACUCCAACAACAAAGAGUUCUAGAGAAAGGGCUGCAGGAAAACAAAUACAGCUAUUCAAGCAAGUCAAGGUUUUGUGAAAUCUCAGAGACCAAUGGCCAUCAAGUGUUUGAUAAAAUGUCUGUGUGAAACUUGGGAUAGCAGAGAAAACACGGAGAGAAUGAUCGCACAAGGACCAAAGGGGACGUUGUUGACACCAUUAACGGUGAUUCUGGCAAGUGAAUUUAUUCUGGGAAUGAUGGAUCUGAGAUGAACUUGGCUAAUGCGGUGGCUUAUUCUCUCCUAGGAGUGCUAAUGGGCUUGUCAAGAGUAUUGGAGCUGGUGGAGUUGAGAGCAGAAGUCAGCAAACUUUUGUGGGUUCUGGGGUUGGAAAAGAAAUUAUCCCUCAGUCAUCUAAGCCAGCUCAAGAGAAGAAGCCCCAGGUUUCUACUGCUAAUGGUCAUGCUACAGCCCCUGCUGCUAAAAACUUUUGGCUUAAGACCCAAAAAUCUAUCCAUAUUGAGAUAGAAUGUACCAUUAGAUGCCCAUCAUACAAGGAAGAAACUGGAGUUGAAGCGAGGUAAUGGCAAAAUAUGAUAGGUGUCGCUUGGGAUUUGUGGUAAAUAAUGUAACAGGAUCUUUACAUGUUGCAAUUUUCAGUCCAUAUGUUUAGAAAUUGUUAUCAUAUACCGCUCUUCAUCUAGCCAGCUGAUGGCCAAGUAAGUUCAACUCCAUGAGCUAUAACUUGAUGAGUUAUUGCAUAAUGAUGAGUGCAACUUGAUAAAUGCGCUUAAAUGCUCUUAGAAGAACAAUUGUAGGAAAAGAUUGAAAUAUUAUACUAAAAAGUCGUAUUUUUCCUUAAAGAAUUAAUGAGGCUUUGUUCAACUUAUUUGAUCCAUUUUAUAGCUUUAAGUUUUGCUUAUUGGAUUAAUUCUUUUGUAUGACAUUUUAUCAUAAGUUUACCCUUACAAAUUCACGUAUAGCUUUGGAUCUUGACUCUUGAGAUAUCCUAAAGCCGUAUAAGAGCAUUCUUUUAGUCAGUUGGAAAUAAUUGAAAAAGAUAAGCUGUCUUAGUUAUGGCUUAGGCAUAAGUGACUUAUAAAUUUCUACUAUUUGGUUUUUGAAUGAGGCUGCCAUAAAAAAAAAUGACUCAGUAUGCUUUAAUAAGUUAUUUGUAUCUAACGUAUCUGCUUAUCUGUUAAAAUUUUAGAAUGCUGCCUUAGUUUUUGAUUGUAAAAAGCUACAUUGCUUCACAGUUGGAAUUUGCAUAGUCAACAUGUAAUUGUUGAUUAAAUAUUUCAAACAAAUAUUUCGAACAAAGUUCACUAAUGAAAUUAAGGAUGCUACACAUUUGCUAAACUAGCCUCUCAUGUUGAGGGGGUUACAAUGGUUUUUUCAUCCAUGCUUUUUAAUCUGGAAAAUCCAAGGACAAAAGGGCAGCGAAGAACAACACUAUCAAAGCAUACACUACUGAGGUUGGAGGUCAAAUUUCGAUAGCAAUCCCAAAUGAAGAUCACAAAAGAUGUUCCCAAAUUUCAUAUCAAUGCUCAAGAUCCUUUAUGAUGGCGUUCUCAUAAAGAACUUGAUGGAGUAAAUGCAAGUUAGCAAUCUAAUUAGUGGGUAGUUAGUAUUUCAAUUUAUAGUUGUCUAGGAUAUAGCACUACUACAAAGUUUAUGACAGGCUGCUGAAUUACUUGGCAGUGGGAAAGUAGAAAAGAUGUUAAUAUUGAACUAGUGCUCAGUUUCUAAACUCUGUUAUUUUACUCAAAUGAUGAA